rnacentral:rRNA from 1 species
GAUGAACGCUGGCGGCGUGCCUAAUACAUGCAAGUCGAGCGAACUUUUGGGAGCUUGCUCCCAAAAGUUAGCGGCGGACGGGUGAGUAACACGUGGGUAACCUGCCUGUAAGACUGGGAUAACUUCGGGAAACCGGAGCUAAUACCGGAUAACAUUGAAGCCCACAUGGCCUUCAAUUAAAAGGUGGCUUUUAGCUACCACUUACAGAUGGACCCGCGGCGCAUUAGCUAGUUGGUGAGGUAACGGCUCACCAAGGCGACGAUGCGUAGCCGACCUGAGAGGGGGGUCGGCCACACUGGGACGGAGACACGGCCCAGACGCCUACGGGAGGCAGCAGUAGGGAAUCUUCCGCAAUGGACGGAAGUCUGACGGAGCAACGCCGCGUGAGCGAAGAAGGCCUUCGGGUCGGAAAGCUCUGUUGUUAGGGAAGAACAAGUAUCGUUCGAAUAGGGCGGUACCUUGACGGUACCUAACCAGAAAGCCACGGCUAACUACGUG